rnacentral:rRNA from 1 species
UCUGGGAAUGAUGGCAGAGAGGUCACACCCGUUCCCAUACCGAACACGGAAGUUAAGCUCUCUAGCGCCGAUGGUAGUUGGGACCUUGUCCCUGUGAGAGUAGGACGUCGCCAAGC